UGGGGAAUAUUGGGCAAUGGGGGAAACCCUGACCCAGCGACGCCGCGUGAGGGAAGACGGCCUUCGGGUUGUAAACCUCUUUUGUACGGGAAGAAGGAAGUGACGGUACUGUACGAAUAAGUCCCGGCUAACUACGUGCCAGCAGCCGCGGUAAUACGUAGGGGACGAGCGUUGUCCGGAAUUACUGGGCGUAAAGGGCGCGCAGGCUGUGCUGCAAGUCAGCUGUGAAAUGUCUGGGCUUAACCCGGGCAUGCGGUUGAGACUGCAGUGCUGGAGUGCUGUAGAGGCAAGUGGAAUUCCCAGUGUAGCGGUGAAAUGCGUAGAUAUUGGGAAGAACACCGGUGGCGAAGGCGACUUGCUGGGCAGCAACUGACGCUGAGGCGCGAAAGCCAGGGGAGCA
rnacentral:rRNA from 1 species